UACGUAGGGGGCAAGCGUUGUCCGGAAUCAUUGGGCGUAAAGAGCGUGUAGGCGGCCCGGUAAGUCCGCUGUGAAAGUCCAGGGCUCAACCCUGGAAUGCCGGUGGAAACUGUCGGGCUAGAGUCCGGAAGAGGCGAGUGGAAUUCCUGGUGUAGCGGUGAAAUGCGCAGAUAUCAGGGGGAACACCAAUGGCGAAGGCAGCUCGCUGGAACGUAACUGACGCUGAGACGCGAAAGCGUGGGGAGCAAACAGG
rnacentral:rRNA from 1 species